AUUGAACGCUGGCGGCAUGCCUUACACAUGCAAGUCGAACGGUAACGGGUCCUUCGGGAUGCCGACGAGUGGCGAACGGGUGAGUAAUAUAUUGGAACGUGCCCAGUAGUGGGGGAUAACUGCUCGAAAGAGCAGCUAAUACGGCAGACGACCUGAGGGUGAAAGGGGGGGAUCGUAAGACCCUCCGCUAUUGGGGCUGCCGGUAUCAGAUUAGGCAGUUGGUGGGGUAAAGGCCUAACAAGGCAACGGUCUGUAGUUGGUCUGAGAGGACGACCAGCCACACUGGGACUGAAAGACGGCCCAGACUCAUACGGGAGGCAGCAGUGGGGAAUUUUGGACAAUGGGCGCGAGCCUGAUCCAGCAAUGCCGCGUGCAGGAAGAAGGCCUUCGGGUUGUAAACUGCUUUUGUCAGGGAAGAGAUCUUCUGGGCUAAUACCCCGGGAGGAUGACGGUACCUGAAGAAUAAGCACCGGCUAACUACGUGCCAGCCGCCGCCGUAA
rnacentral:rRNA from 1 species